CGGUACAUCGUGACAGGUGGUGGCAUGGUUGUCGUCAGCUCGUGUCGUGAGAUGUUGGGUUAAGUCCCGCAACGAGCGCAACCCCUAUUGUUAGUUGCCAUCAUUCAGUUGGGCACUCUAGCGAGACUGCCGGUAAUAAACCGGAGGAAGGUGGGAUGACGUCAAAUCAUCAUGCCCCUUAUGACCUGGGCUACACACGUGCUACAAUGGUUGGUACAACGAGUUGCGGGUCGGUGACGGCGAGCUAAUCUCUUAAAGCCAAUCUCAGUUCGGAUUGUAGGCUGCAACUCGCCUACAUGAAGUCGGAAUCGCUAGUAAUCGCGGAUCAGCACGCCGCGGUGAAUACGUUCCCGGGCCUU
rnacentral:rRNA from 1 species